AAAACUCAAAUGAAUUGACGGGGGCCCGCACAAGCGGUGGAGCAUGUGGUUUAAUUCGAUGCAACGCGAAGAACCUUACCUGGUCUUGACAUCCACGGAAGUUUUCAGAGAUGAGAAUGUGCCUUCGGGAACCGUGAGACAGGUGCUGCAUGGCUGUCGUCAGCUCGUGUUGUGAAAUGUUGGGUUAAGUCCCGCAACGAGCGCAACCCUUAUCCUUUGUUGCCAGCGGUCCGGCCGGGAACUCAAAGGAGACUGCCAGUGAUAAACUGGAGGAAGGUGGGGAUGACGUCAAGUCAUCAUGGCCCUUACGACCAGGGCUACACACGUGCUACAAUGGCGCAUACAAAGAGAAGCGACCUCGCGAGAGCAAGCGGACCUCAUAAAGUGCGUCGUAGUCCGGAUUGGAGUCUGCAACUCGACUCCAUGAAGUCGGAAUCGCUAGUAAUCGUGGAUCAGAAUGCCACGGUGAAUACGUUCCCGGGCCUUGUACACACCGCCCGUCACACCAUGGGAGUGGGUUGCAAAAGAAGUAGGUAGCUUAACCUUCGGGAGGGCGCUUACCACUUUGUGAUUCAUGACUGGGGUGAAGUCGUAACAAGGUAACCGUAGGGGAACCUGCGGUUGGAUCAC
rnacentral:rRNA from 1 species